AGCGAACGCUGGCGGCAGGCCUAACACAUGCAAGUCGAACGAACCUUUCGGGGUUAGUGGCGGACGGGUGAGUAACACGUGGGAACGUGCCUUUAGGUUCGGAAUAACUCAGGGAAACUUGUGCUAAUACCGAAUGUGCCCUUCGGGGGAAAGAUUUAUCGCCGUUAGAGCGGCCCGCGUCUGAUUAGCUAGUUGGUUGAGGUAAUGGCUCACCAAGGCGACGAUCAGUAGCUGGUCUGAGAGGAUGAUCAGCCACAUUGGGACUGAGACACGGCCCAAACUCCUCCGGGCGGCCGCCGUGGGGCCUCUUGCGCCCUGGGCGCCCGCCUGACGCAGCCAUGCCGCGUGAAUGAUGAAGGUCUUAGGCUUGUCCCCUUCUUUCCCCGGGGCCGCUCAUGCCGGUCCCCGGCGCAGCCGCCCCGGCUCCCUUCGU
rnacentral:rRNA from 1 species